rnacentral:rRNA from 1 species
AGAGUUUGAUCAUGGCUCAGAUUGAACGCUGGCGGCAGGCUUAACACAUGCAAGUCGAACGGUAACAGAACUAGCUUGCUAGUUGCUGACGAGUGGCGGACGGGUGAGUAACGCGUAGGAAUCUACCGAAUAGUGGGGGACAACAGUUGGAAACGGCUGCUAAUACCGCAUACGCCCUACGGGGGAAAGGAGGGGAUCUUCGGACCUUUCGCUAUUUGAUGAGCCUGCGUGAGAUUAGUUAGUUGGUGGGGUAAUGGCUCACCAAGGCGACGAUCUCUAGCUGGUCUGAGAGGAUGAUCAGCCACACUGGGACUGAGACACGGCCCAGACUCCUACGGGAGGCAGCAGUGGGGAAUAUUGCACAAUGGGGGAAACCCUGAUGCAGCCAUGUCGCGUGUGUGAAGAAGGCCUUCGGGUUGUAAAGCACUUUCAGUUGUGAGGAAAGGUUAAGGGUUAAUA